rnacentral:tRNA from 1 species
UCUCUGGUGGCUCAGAUGGUAAAGAAUCUGCCUGCAAUGCAGGAGACCUGGGUUCAAUCCCUGGACUGGGAA